CUGCAUCGUUGUUGGUGGCUGCUUGAUGGUUGUUUUCUCACGGUUUUCCUCAUAGGACAUUCACCGUGCUUACGCUCGUUCAGAAGAUCUACACGUAUCAAAUUUCAUCUACGCCAGGGUCCAGUGAUACUCAGACUUCCCACGUCGUCUGCUUCCGAAGCGAAGCGCUUACAAACGGCUUCAAUCGCCUUUUGUUUGCAUGCCUCUGGAGGGGCUCCAGCUGCUGCACUGUGUGCUGCGAGACACAGGUAGAUCUGCAGGCACCGAAUGUUGCACAGAUUCCUAACGUAUUUGUUUUCUUUCUCAGCUGAACCUUCCCCCGAAUCAGCAGAACCGUCUCCGUGAAAACCCGGGGCGACUAUAUGCUGUCUCAUCUCCACCAUGCGAUCCGUUUUCCCUUCCUCGCUACAGUCGGAGGACCGUGCCUCUGCUUUCUCUGGAUUUGCUUGUCCGAGUUCUUUUCCGACGGGUAAACGGUUUCCUCGUUUUGUCUCCGCGACCACGUCGCCAGAGGCCCGGGAGUCCUCGCGAGAAAAGACAUGCGAAGUUGGCGUGAGAUUCAACAUUUCGUUGCCCAUCAUACGACCAAGUGGCUGAUGCGAAUCGUCUCUUCUGUGCUGCAGGCGAGCCGAAUGCUCAUCCUUCGAGUGUACGUACAUCGAAAAUGAGAGGCACUGUCUCCCGUACCGGUUUUGCAGACUCCUCACGAACCCUGGAGUCAGGUGGACGCCCUCAACAACGAUGAGUUUCAGUGGAGAAGCGCACGCGUCAGCAUUUGUUCCUGAAUCGUCCCCUCCGUGUUUGCUGCGGUUUCCUUCGUCGAUGGACGCAGACCCCUCGCGCCCUUCCGUCCUCUCACCCAUGAGUCCGUGUAUGGUGGGGCCGAGGACUUGAUGUUGCAGAAGUAUAGACUGCUGGAGCAGCCCCAGAACUGCAGAGCAGGGAUACGACUCUUGACACGACGGACAUUUUUCUGGAAACCAAGCAGAAAACGGCUGUAGAUUCUCCUCGAUCUCUCUCCGUGUCUUCUCGACCUUCCCGGCUCUGUCCUCCGGAUCUUCGUUCCAGUUUCCCGCUGUGUCUGGACAGUCGGCGGUCUCCGGCUCCGUCUCACAGUCGUCCAAACGUUGUGCAGCGCCCCGUCUGCCGCCUCCUUCCCUCGCACACUUCGACCUUCCCUUCAGACUCUCCAGUUGCUCCUGGACCACGGAUUGCAGCUCGAAGGUGCUGUGGAACAAAAGCGGGUUCCGCGACUGGCUGAGCACUCGAGCAACCUUCCUCGUGUGAUCAGAAGACACGACCACACAGCCGUCCUCCAAACCGACGUCGUUCGAGGGACACUGUUCACUACACCGCUCUUCACUCAAAAGGCUAGCGUUCCGCGACCGAACGUUCUCCAUCAAAAGACGAGUCACAAGUGGCGCGAGCGUGCUCUUUCCGGUUCCUGACGGUCCUCCCAGAAGAAGCAGGACGGGUUUGUGUGGCGACUCAUCACCGCCAAGUCCAGACGUGCAGCGACUCCUCGAAGCCUCCCCCGUAUCGCCCUUGCCGCUAUGUGCACAGGUCUCCUUAGCGCGGCGAUUGGCUUUCUGAUUCACCAACGUAGCAGAGAAGUCUUCGACCCCCUUCAUCUCCCUGCCAGACACAGCAGUUCCAUGUUCUGCAGCGCGAGGCUCUUCGCUUCCAUCUGCCCUUCCACUUUGCUUCCCAUUCUCUCCUCCGUCUUCUCCUCCAUCUUUUAUUUCACGUGAUCUCAUUGGCCGAGGACUGUACCGCAGGCGAGUUGCAUGCACCCUGGCGGUUGCCUCCACGAUCGCCUCGCCGAGAAGCUUUGCAACCCCUCGAGGCAAACAGUCUUUCUCCGCUCGUGCCUCCGAGCACUGGUUUUCCGGCAGAGCAGCCUCUUUGCUUAAGGGAGAAAUUCCCGACGUCCUGCGGUCGCGCGUCACUCGCGUUGAACGAGAACUUUCGGGCCUUCUCUGUUCCGCAUACGUUUCGACUUCGUGGGCUUCUGUCGAAAAACACCACGGAUGGAACGGACGCAGGGUAGGGUAGACAAGAGCAGAUGUGACUAUCUCAUCUUGACGACGGACAGAGAUUUCGGGGAUCCGCGCUCGACAGAAGCGCACUUGGUCGAUUUUGUUUCGAAUAGCGGCAACUGGUGUGAAGCCGCGUGGACUUCGUUCUCCUGGCGUCCCCGCUGAAAUAUUAUGUCUCACAAACUCUGUCAUGGUUCCUGCUCGCGACGGAAUGCGG
rnacentral:lncRNA from 1 species